rnacentral:rRNA from 1 species
GACGAACGCUGGCGGCGUGCUUAACACAUGCAAGUCGAACGGAAAGGCCCUGCUUUUGUGGGGUGCUCGAGUGGCGAACGGGUGAGUAACACGUGAGUAACCUGCCCUUGACUUUGGGAUAACUUCAGGAAACUGGGGCUAAUACCGGAUAGGAGCUCCUGCUGCAUGGUGGGGGUUGGAAAGUUUCGGCGGUUGGGGAUGGACUCGCGGCUUAUCAGCUUGUUGGUGGGGUAGUGGCUUACCAAGGCUUUGACGGGUAGCCGGCCUGAGAGGGUGACCGGCCACAUUGGGACUGAGAUACGGCCCAGACUCCUACGGGAGGCAGCAGUGGGGAAUAUUGCACAAUGGGCGGAAGCCUGAUGCAGCAACGCCGCGUGCGGGAUGACGGCCUUCGGGUUGUAAACCGCUUUCGCCUGUGACGAAGCGUGAGUGACCGUAAUGGGUAAAGAAGCACCGGCUAACUACGUG